AGAGUUUGAUCCUGGCUCAGGAUGAACGCUGGCGGUAUGCCUAACACAUGCAAGUCGAACGGUGUCUUCGGACACAGUGGCGGACGGGUGAGUAACGCGUGAGAAUCUGCCUCUAGGUUGGGGACAACAGCUGGAAACGACUGCUAAUACCCGAUGUGCCGUAAGGUAAAAGAUUUAUUGCCUGGAGAGGAGCUCGCGUCUGAUUAGCUAGUUGGUGGGGUAAAAGCCUACCAAGGCAGCGAUCAGUAGCUGGUCUGAGAGGAUGAGCAGCCACACUGGGACUGAGACACGGCCCAGACUCCUACGGGAGGCAGCAGUGGGGAAUUUUCCGCAAUGGGCGAAAGCCUGACGGAGCAAUACCGCGUGAGGGAGGAAGGCCUUUGGGUUGUAAACCUCUUUUCUCAGGGAAGAAGAUCUGACGGUACCUGAGGAAUAAGCAUCGGCUAACUCCGUGCCAGCAGCCGCGGUAAUACGGAGGGUGCAAGCGUUAUCCGGAAUCAUUGGGCGUAAAGCGUCCGCAGGUGGUUUUUCAAGUCUGCUGUUAAAGACUGGAGCUCAACUCCGGAAAGGCAGUGGAAACUGAGAAACUAGAGUUCGGUAGGGGUAGCGGGAAUUCCCAGUGUAGCGGUGAAAUGCGUAGAUAUUGGGAAGAACAUCGGUGGCGAAGGCGCGCUACUGGACCGAAACUGACACUCAGGGACGAAAGCUAGGGGAGCGAAAGGGAUUAGAUACCCCUGUAGUCCUAGCUGUAAACGAUGGAAACUAGGUGUGGCUUGUAUCGACCCGAGCCGUGCCGUAGCUAACGCGUUAAGUUUCCCGCCUGGGGAGUACGCACGCAAGUGUGAAACUCAAAGGAAUUGACGGGGGCCCGCACAAGCGGUGGAGUAUGUGGUUUAAUUCGAUCAUACGCGAAGAACCUUACCUGGCCUUGACAUUGAUAGAACACUUUAGAGAUAGAGUGGUGCCCUUCGGGGAGCUUGAAAACAGGUGCUGCACGGCUGUCGUCAGCUCGUGUCGUGAGAUGUUGGGUUAAGUCCCGCAACGAGCGCAACCCUCGUCCUUAGUUGCCAGCAGUUAGGCUGGGCACUCUAAGGAGACUGCCUUCGCAAGGAGGAGGAAGGUGAGGACGACGUCAAGUCAUCAUGGCCCUUACGGCCAGGGCUACACACGUGCUACAAUGGGGCGUACAGAGAGUUGCGAUACCGCGAGGUGGAGCCAAUCUCAUAAAGCGUCUCUCAGUUCGGAUUGGAGUCUGCAACUCGACUCCAUGAAGCUGGAAUCACUAGUAAUCGUAGAUCAGCAAUGCUACGGUGAAUACGUUCCCGGGUCUUGUACUCACCGCCCGUCACACCAU
rnacentral:rRNA from 1 species